ensembl:lncRNA
GGGAGUUCUGCCCCUGGGAGUUCUGCCUGAGAGCGACCGCCCAAUAAAAGGCCCUGAUCAACGGUCCAUAGGGGUGGUUCCUUCUUCCCACGGCGUUUCUUACAGGGGCCCCACUCGAAAAGCUCUGCAAAGGUGUCUAGGAUAAGGAGCUCUCAGAACUGGAAGAUAUAGUCCUCUUUCUUCCUGUCCUACAAAAUCACCACUAAGGUUUAGGAUUUUGGAAUGGCUGAUGGUGACUUCACAGCUUCUUCAGCUUCACAGAUGUGAUGAUGCCAGAGAUUAUCUUGUACAGAGAUUGUACCUCCCAGCUUCCCUACUUGGAGAGAAACAAGCGUGGAAAUGGAGCAGCAGAAGUGCCUCUUCGAGGAUCUAGAAGAGAUCUAAGCAGCUGCUUCUGGAGAAAUCUCUUAGAGAUAGAAGCCGCAGAGUUGAGACUGUGUACCCAGCUGGAGACCAGCUUCAUGCUAGAUCUGAGUGGAUCCUGUGGCUGUUCCAGUCAACAGAAUAUGGCAGAAGUGAUGCUAAAUGGUUCUGAGGCUCUUCCCACUCAAUCUCUGCCCGGUGUCCUGGGACAUUUAUUCUGGUGGAGAGAUAAUUCCAGUAUAAGAGGUACAGCUACCCUGGAGGGCCACGUCUAUAGACCCUGUUGAGCAACCAGCUGACAGCAGCAUCCAGUGGCAGCCAUCUGUGUGAGCCAUCUGGGACGUCCAGUCUAGUUGGGCCCAUAGAUGAUCACAGCAUAGCCAACAUCUGACCACAACUAUGAAAAACCCCGUAUGAGAACUGCCCAGCCAAGCCCUUUGCAGAUUCCUGACUCAUAAAACUAUGAGAAAAAUCAAAUUGUUGUUUUACUCCACUAAGUUUUGGAAUGAUUUGUAAUGCAGGAUCAUUAACCAGGGCACAUAGCAACACUGAAGGGUCACUGCAAGGACUGAGUGAGAGAAC